UGUACUUUUGAUGAAAAGUCACUUUCUAGACAUAAAAUGUCACUUUUUUCACCUUAUCAUACUUUUUCAUCAACUUUUGCAUUUUAAUGUAAACAAUCAUAUUUCGUAAUAUUUUGGGUCGGAAACAUUUCAUAGUACUAUAUUAUGUCUAACUAUGUGAAAAAAAUCAAAUUGGAGUAGGUGGGGCAACUGAUUAUAUGAGUUUGUUAGAAAAACCACUUUCAAUUCAAUUCAAUUUUAUUUGUAUAGCACUUUUUACAAUAGACAUUGUCUCAAAGCAGCUUUACAGAAAUAUCAACAUGGUAUACAGAUAUUAAAGGUGCGA
ensembl:lncRNA